ACUAAAAUUCGAGCUGGGUCCGCCUGAACCACACACCACCCAACAACCAAAAUCCCCUCCCAGCGCCGCAUCCUCUCUCCUCCCGUUCCCCAUUCCUCCAGCUCCAUCGACGGCAGAUCCCGGCUAACUCCGGCCAGCCCCUGCCUUGCUGGCCACCAUCCCGACACUCCCUCAUCCUCCUCUCUCGAAUCCAGGCCGCAUCACCACCUCAAACCCUAGCCUCCGGCUCUACGGAGGUCAAGUUUCGACCUUUGGGUCCAUGGCGGCGGCGCGGCCGCAGGUCGGGGUGAGGCUGUUCGGUGACGAUCUUAACGCGCAGACCGCAAUGAAUCCUCUUUCUUGCCACCCCGCUCAAACCCUAGUCCCGACGCGGCCAAAUCCUAUCGCCACCCAAAAUCCGGCAACCGAGACCAUGUUGGCCACCGUGGAAGGCCAAGGACUGCUGCGAGGAUGGCCACGCGCGAGGAGGAAGGCGCUGCUCGCCGCCGGCCACGCCCCGACAAACAUGCUGCUGCUACCCCCCGUGAGUGAGGUUCAAAUCGUAUUUGGGCACCAAGCUGCUGCUUAUGGAACCAAGCUGGGUGGUACCUGGUGGCGAUGGCCAGCCAGGUGAGGAGGAGGCGGACUUCAUCGGUGACAUCUGCAGGGCCGCGUGGAGGCGCUACAAUCGCUGCUGAUUGACGGCAUCUAUUCACUAGGUCUCCCUAAAGAGAAACCCACUGACGGGGAGGUUGCCACCGCCACAAACAAAUCCUAUGUUGCCAUGCGUAUUUGGGUUCAACUGUGUGCCAUUGACGUGACAAGGAUGCUGAACUGCUGCUUGUCGCCUACAGCAUCCGCGUUGAAGGCCUCCUGAAGCACUUGCAUGUGCUCACUGAUCCAACCUGGCACAACUCUGACGUGCCAAUGACUUGCAGCUGAUUCAAAUCAUAUCAGAGGAAGAGAAUGAGAGACUCAAUGGCAUUGCAAGAGGAGGUCUACGGUGGCCGCCAAUCAGCUACGAGUUCAAUGAAUAUCGGAGCUGAAAAAAAGGCAUGAAGCUGGGGAACUAGGAGGCAGUGUGGGAGGGGAACCAGGACGAGCUGGUGUCAUCUCCGACACCCACAAGUGUGGCGAUGAUGUGAUCUGGUGGUACCAUAACUUGGAACCAUGGAGAUUCUUUGCGGUGAUGAGGAUAUUGGCGCCAAGGCUUUGUUGGGUGGUGGAGGCCAAGAGGCAAAUAGUCACCUACAGCAGCCGGAUGACGGUAUAGCCCAAGGGGGUGGUGGGUUCACGGCCGACAAUGAUCCUGCUUGGAUGAUGCCAGGCAGGAGAAUGGCUAUGCUUGGAAGUUGAUUGAUGAUGAGCUGAGCUUCUUUGACUAGUGAUGUGAUGCUGCAGCGGUACAUGGAGAUAAGCUUCUUCUGUGGUGCUUCUGAAGGUGUUCCUUGAUGCGGCAGCAGCAACAGCAAGAGAGAAGUAGAGCUGAUGGCCCGUGAUGGUUUUUUGUAUUUAAUCAAGUGAUGGUGCUCUUGUAGUGUUGUGGACUUGUGGUCUUAAAUUUGCUGCUAGCUGUGUGGUUCUCUUGUAACAUUAGUUAUUUUUAACUUGCAGUUUUCGUAGGUUAAACUUGUGGGUCGAAUUACAAGAGUGAUGCUUUUGUCACUUCUUAUUAUCAUAUAUUUAUUGUCUGA